CUAAUACAGGAUGCUUCCUCCUCUUCAUUCAGGCCCCAAAGAAUCACAGGAAUAUUUGAAGACAUAGACGAAAAUUCACACCCACCCUACGAACAGAUCUUAGAUCUAACGUAAUUUAAUUCCAUAAUUCACAUAAACCUCCAACAAGUUGGAAAUAACUUCUAUAUAUAAAUGAAAGGAUCAGAAACAUUCAGAAAACAUCUCUUGCCUUUGAGAUUCACCCAGCUUCUACCAUGGAAUUUCUGGAGUUAUUAGGUGAUAAAACUCCUGCUAACAGAGUUACUACAGUCUGUGCGAAGGUGACAUUAGAAUUAUUACUCAUAUUAAGCCAUCAGGAUGGGUGGCUACCUGGACUGAAUGAAAUAGAAAAACUGAUCAGUCAUUUACUUUAAAUGAUUUAUAUCAUCUUGAUCUGGACAAUUUAAACUUCUAAACUCUCA
rnacentral:lncRNA from 1 species